rnacentral:rRNA from 1 species
CAGUAGCCGCGGGAAUACGAAGGGUGCAAGCGUUAAUCGGAAUUACUGGGCGUAAAGCGUGCGUAGGCGGUGAGUUAAGUCUGUUGUGAAAUCCCCGGGCUCAACCUGGGAAUGGCAAUGGAUACUGGCAAGCUAGAGUGUGUCAGAGGAUGGUGGAAUUCCCGGUGUAGCGGUGAAAUGCGUAGAGAUCGGGAGGAACAUCAGUGGCGAAGGCGGCCAUCUGGGACAACACUGACGCUGAGGCACGAAAGCGUGGGGAGCAAACAGGAUUAGAUACCCGUGUAGUCCCUGUCUCUUAUAC